GAGAGCGACUAUCCAGCUCUGGCCAGUGAAGCCUCUGCUCCAUCUGAGGCGAUUUCUAACCCUCUCACUCACAUUUUCUCUGAAAGAGAAAGAAGCCUCCCUGUGCCUCACUAAAGCAGGACAUUCAUGGCGAGAAGGGGUUGGAAAAAGACAGACUCAACAACCAAAUAAUCACCACCAGUGAGUGUCCUUUCAGGAAAGAGGUCUUUUUUAGAUGAUUGCCAGGAGAGGAGGGCCAGUGUUUUGAGACCUUUGGACAGUGUGUACACGUGUACACCAACAGCCUGCUGGAUUUUCCUGGGGUGAGUACUACAAAAGUAACAAGAGAAGAGAAAACAAAAACUUGAAAGAAAUACAUGCAUGCUUUUAAACUGACAUAGGACAUAAUGUAGGUUGCUUAACAUGGAAUAAUUAGGUAAAAUUACUUUUAAGACUACAUUUCUAUGCCAAUUUACAAAUGUGAUUUUUUUUUAAAAUGAGGUUUAAACAAAUUAGAGCUAGACUAAGUUCUUAGAAACUAAUACUCACAUAUCAGGGGUGCCUCCUCCAAUACUGGCUCUUUUAUAAUAAAAGCACUGUAAACAACUGAGUCAACAUGGAGGAGGGGGGGGAAUCCCCAGGUCUCCCUAAAUCUCCCCUCUCCAGUGGAUGCUGGUGGUAGAGUGAAUAAAAAUCUUUCAUUGGACACAUUUCAGGGCUUUGGUCUAUUAUUUGAACGAUAGGUAGACGAGGCCAGAAUCAAUGGCAAAUCACCUCCUUCUACUCUAUUUUUUUGUCUUUGUAGGUCCUGAGCGUCUAAAGAUCGUGAUUUACCUGGAAAAAUGAACAUAUAAGAAAUUGCACUUUAUGUGGCCAGGAGGUUUCUAGCGUGGGUCUCCCGAGCAGCAGAGGAGCAGUAACUCUGCACUCUGAGCCUCAAACAUACGUCAUCUUCUCUUGCCAACGUAGAAGCUUCUUCCACACUUGCCCUGCCUGAAUCCCUUCUUUGCUUAGAAAUUUCUGCUCUCUUUAGGUCUUCAUGGUCACUGUGCUUGAGACACCUUCAAACCCUCAAGUCCGAGUUAAGUUUGCUGCUUCCCACACAUCAAUGUGCUUAACCAUAUGUCUCUCCCCAGAGUCCAUACACACAGGGAAGGUGGGUCCAUGACCUUGACGCCCAGCUUCCUGGUGUACUUACAUCAGGAACUCAACAACUGGACAAAAUUAACCAGCACUGUUGACUCCACACCUCAGUGAGACAAGAGUACUUUUGAAAUUAGAAGAUCCUGAUGUCACAGGUAGAGAUCUGCGCCCUUCGCAUUCCAGCAAAAGGAAGUGUAAAUGUCGUACUUACCAUGAUGGACGACGCCCUUCAACC